AUUGAACGCUGGCGGCAGGCCUAACACAUGCAAGUCGAGCGGUUGAGGUAGCUUGCUACCGAUGCAGCGGCGAACGGGUGAGUAAUACAUGGGAAUCUGCCUGGUAGUGGGGGACAACGUCUCGAAAGGUACGCUAAUACCGCAUACGCUCUACGGGGGAAAGGGGAGGAUCUCCGGACCGCUCGAUAUCAGAUGAGCCCAUGUCAGAUUUGCAAGUUGGUGGGGUAAAGGCUCACCAAGGGGACGAUCUGUAACGGGGCUGAGAGGAUGAUCAGUCACACUGGAACUGAGACACGGUCCAGAGUCCUACGGGAGGCAGCAGUGGGGAAUAUUGGACAAUGGGCGCAAGCCUGAUCCAGCCAUGCCGCGUGUGUGAAGAAGGCCUUAGGGGUGUAAAGCACUUUCAGUGGGGAGAAAGGUAAUUCACCUAAUACGUGAGUUAAUUGAUGUUACCCACAGAAGAAGCACCGGCUAACUCCGUGCCAGCAGCCGCCGUAA
rnacentral:rRNA from 1 species